rnacentral:lncRNA from 1 species
CCCUUAUAAUUUUUUGGUACUUUCUCAUAUCUAUUUUAUAUUCCCUCAUAUUUUUGGUAUCUCUAUCUCCUUAUAAUUUUUGGUACUCCCUCGUAUUUUCGGUACACCCUUGGUAUCCCCUCAUAAUUUUUAGUAUUUUUCAUUAUUUUUUAUAUUCCCUCAUAUUUUUUUUUAUUUUAUCCUCAUAAUUUUUUAUAUAAUUUCAAAAUGAGGAUUUCAAAUGAGAUAUAAUUGUGGUGUUAAAAAAUUUAUUAUUUUUGCAUAUUAAGAAAAU